rnacentral:lncRNA from 1 species
GUUGAUUUUUCUCUCUCCGCCAGAGACAGACUCACCGCUUCGCUCCCCACCCACCUCGACAGUCGGCACGGGGCAUCCGGCCAGGCUCUCCCAGGCGAGAAGAUUGUGGAAGUCUCAUUCUCCAGGCAGAGCAACCAGCCCUCUGGAGGGUGUUCAGGGAAUGGCUUUGCAAGGGGACAGCCCCUAGAGGGAUGUGGUGAGCUCAGGCUGGGUGUGCGCUGGCCGAUGAUACAUCCAAGGAGCCUGCAUCUGAAGCUAAGUGGUGGCAGGGGGGUAGCAAAGCUUAGGAGUCACCCAACCCUGGGCUGGCCUCCAGCAGAUGAGCCAGGGUGCAGAUUCUGGCUCUGAGGGUGGGGGUGCGUUAUUCCCAGAGAUAUAGGGAGGAGAGGCAGGGAGUUUCAGCAUGUUUCCAGACCAAGGAGAUGCUGCAGAGACCCAGAGGAGGAAAGGAGAUGACAGAAGAAGGACAAAUGGGCAGUGGGGUUGCCAGUCUCCAGAGUGGGAGGAAAUUGAAGUCUGAG